AAGGAGAGACUUUGCUCCCUGUCGAUGCCGUGGCUGGACAAAUGCCGCUCUCAACUGCUACAGACCGAAGUCUACGCUUUAAAGAUAGAGAAGCCAUUCUGUCAAAGUGAAAACAGAAGCGGUAGGUAGGAAGCCGCCCCCCUUUCUUUCAAGCACAGAGACCCAGAGAGACGCCCAGGAGCUCCCGAAAAAAACGUUGCUGAUUAGAGCUGCCAGGUCAGAAACAGCUGUGAGACACUGAAGUCCCCACUUUUAUAAUUAUUCAAUAUGUUCCCACUGACUGAGGAAAACAAGCAUGUGGCCCGGUUGUUGCUCAAUACUGGUACUUGUCCAAGAUGUAUCUUCAGAUUCUGUGGUGUGGAUUUUCAUGCACCUUACAAACUUCCAUACAAGGAGUUGCUCAAUGAACUACAGAAAUUUCUGGAAACUGAAAAAGAUGAAUUAAUUUUGGAAGUUAUGAACCCACCUCCCAAGAAAAUUCGACUGCAAGAACUGGAAGAUAGUAUUGAUAAUCUAAGUCAAAAUGGAGAGGGAAGGAUCUCUGUUAGUCAAGUUGGAAGCACUGCUUCCAAGAACUCAAAUUUAAAUGUAUGUAAUGUAUGCCUAGGAAUUCUUCAAGAAUUCUGUGAGAAAGAUUUCAUUAAAAAGGUGUGCCAAAAGGUUGAGGCCUCUGGGUUUGAAUUCACCAGCCUGGUAUUUUCAGUCUCCUUCCCACCACAACUAUCUGUAAGAGAGCAUGCUGCAUGGUUGCUGGUAAAACAGGAAAUGGGAAAGCAGAGUCUGUCGCUGGGAAGAGAUGAUAUAGUUCAGCUAAAAGAAGCCUACAAAUGGAUAACUCACCCCCUGUUUUCAGAGGAACUGGGUGUUCCCAUUGAUGGAAAGGUAUUGGGUCAACAGCAUUGUUAAUUUUAUUCUCUGAUUUUACUAGUUUUACUUAAUUAUAUGGCAGGGUUUUGGUUAGCCAAAAAAACUUCUUUUUAAAUAAUCCAGUGAAGGAUUUUUUAAGCUUUUAAAAUGUUAAAUUCUGAUAGUCUUAAAUUGAAGUCAAAGCAUUUCUUUUUUUUUUUUUUUCCCUAAGACUUCUUUAUGAUCUAAGACACUUAUGAAGGUACCCUAAUUGACCUUAAAAGGUUAGAAAUGAAUCUUUGCCUUUAAUGUAUUUAUAGUUCAGUUGGAGGAACAGACUUGAUGCAAAGCAACAUAUAAAUAACUGCAAGCAAAUAUAGAGUCAACUCUGGACUAUUUAAUUUUGGUUUAUCUGUGGCUAAUCUUGUUUUCAAAUGCAUGGACAGAACCUAUUCAAUUACAAUGAGUAUGGGCUCAAUCCUACCUUGUUGGUAUCUCAAAUCCCCCUGUUUACUUUUAGGCAGUAACUGCCUUUGAAAACAGAACAUUUCCCUUUUCCAGAGCAGACCUUACCUCAGUCUCUGAAAUGGGUUGACUUUCAGGGAAGACUCAACAGGCUUCCAGGUGUGAAAACAGGAAGGUCAUCUUAAAUUAGAUUUUAAUAUUAUGGCCUCAUUGCUUCAUCAUUUUGCUAGAAGGAAAUUCCCUGAAUAUCAGAUACACCCCUAUUCAAAUAAAAUCACAAAACCAUCUACUAAAGCUAAACAGUUUUUCAAAACCAUUCUGAAUUAUGCAGUAAUAUUUCCUUCUGUAAGAAUAUGCUCUGUUCUGUAAACCGAGUAUUGAGAGAAUAGAGAAUAAAACCACUUCACAGAUAGCAUGAAGAGGAAAUGAGGUAAUGAAAGUAUUUUGGAAGUUAGAGAAGUCAUUAAUGCAAAAUAUUUUUACCUCAAAUUUCAGUUUUGAAGCACAAAUAAUUUUACAUGUUGUAUCAGUGAGAACAGAAAAUAGAAAACAAAAGAUGUGGGUUGAGUGAAGUUUCCCUGAAUAAAAGGAAUGCGUUGUUCAUUUUAAUUAUUGUAUAGAUUAGAAUAAGGAGCAAAAAAAAAAAAGCUAUUCAUUAUUGUGAUUCUAGAGUAGCUAAUAGGUCUACUAACUAUCCAAUGAACUCAGUAAAUAUAAAGACAAAAUUGCAACAUAGUAUGGCGUUUUUAGCUAUUCCUCCCCCUGACCCCUCCCCCAUAUGGAAUUUUGUAUAUUCUCCAUGGAGGUAAAAGUAUAAAAUCAUGCUUUUUUUGUUGUACAAGGAUGUUCAUUAUAGCAUUUUUUUUUGUUACAGAAAAAUUUUCUACAGCUUAAAUGUCUGACAGUCCCUAGAGUUGAAAAGAUUUCCAUGAUAUAAUAUUAAAGCAAUUUUCCAAAAGCAUGUCUUAAAAAAUAACACAUAUACAUUUAUAUUCACAAAAAUGCCUAGAAAGAAACAUCAAAUUGUUAAUGGUUCUGCUUCAGUGGCGUGGGAUUGAAAAACUGUCUUGUAUUUGAUCAUUUUAUAAUUUAUGUGUAUAAUUUUUGUAAUAAAACAAAAAAAAUUAAGAUUUGGUUUUAAAACUCAAAUCCAUUAAGAUGUUUGAGCACUUUAAAAAGAAGCUUCAUAUGGUUUUUAGGGAUCUGAAUAGUAUGUUUUUUGCCUUGCUAAUAAUUCAAAUCAUAGUAUUGGCAGAAUAAUUCUUCAUUUCUCUCUGUUAUUAUUUAUUUUCAAUUCUGUAAAUUCUCAUUCAUCUUUAUACCUAAUUUACACAUUUGUCCAAAAAGUAUACACAUUUAUUUUAAAACUUUUUUGGUAGGAUCACUAAUGACUGAGUUUUAGAAGUUAAAAAAAAAAACAAAACUAUUUCCUUUACAGCUGCCCUGAUAACAAGUUGAUUUGAGAGCAGUAGUAUUUCCAGUUUUUCUGGUCAUUCUUUUCUGAGCCAAUCUUUGAGAAUGAAUUUCUAUUUCCAUUAAUAAGUUGUUAGAUGUUAGUUUCCUUUUGCUCAUUUUUAAACUGUCUUUAUAAUUUUUAGAGCUUGUUUGAAGUGAGUGUGGUCUUUGCUCACCCAGAAACAGUUGAGGAUUGCCACUUCCUGUAAGUUGCCAUGUAAACAACAAUGUCAAUGGUGUAAAAUUGUUAAUGCUGUUUGGUUUUCAUGAAAAUAGUAUUGCUUCUCUUCCUAAUAAGAAAGAGAAGAACUUGUUAUGUCUUAGUAGGUUUAAAAUGUGCCCUCAAAAAAAUAAAAUGUGUCCUUGAACAUAGUUCCUGGGCAAACCGAUAUAGCUCAUACAGGGACUCAUUUUGUCUGCUCCUGAUGUCCUGAGUUUAGCAGCCAUUUUGUAUGAAAUAUAUUUGAAUUAUAUCUACCCCAAAAUAAACUCAUUAACCUUUUAUAUUAACUUGAAUUUUAUUUUAGAGCUGCGAUAUGCCCAGAUUGUUUUAAGCCAGCCAAAAACAAACAGUCUGUAUUCACUAGAAUGGCAGUUAUGAAAGCCUUGAAUAAGAUAAAGGAAGAGGAUUUCCUUAAGCAGUUUCCUUGUCCUCCAAACUCACCAAAGGCUGUAUGCGCUGUUCUUGAAAUUGAAUGUGCUCAUGGUGCUGUUUUUGUGGCUGGGAGAUAUAAUAAAUACUCCAGGAAUCUACCACAAACUCCUUGGAUAAUUGAUGGAGAAAGGAAGCUGGAAUCUUCAGUGGAAGAAUUAAUUUCAGAUCAUCUGUUGGCAGUAUUUAAAGCAGAGAGUUUUAAUUUUUCAUCCUCUGGAAGAGAAGAUGUAGAUGUGAGAACAUUAGGAAAUGGAAGGCCCUUUGCAAUUGAGCUGGUGAAUCCUCAUAGAGUACAUUUCACUUCACAAGAAAUUAAGGAACUUCAGCAGAAAAUUAAUAACUCAUCUAACAAAAUCCAAGUACGUGACUUGCAGCUUGUCACAAGAGAGGCAAUAGGACAUAUGAAAGAAGGUGAAGAAGAAAAGACAAAGACCUACAGUGCCUUAAUUUGGACAAAUAAAGCGAUACAGAAGAAAGACAUUGAAUUCCUAAAUGACAUAAAGGACUUAAAGAUCGACCAGAAAACACCUUUGCGCGUCCUUCACCGAAGGCCCCUGGCUGUGCGAGCUCGCGUCAUUCACUCCAUGGAGACACAGUAUGUGGAUGAGCACCACUUCCGCCUCCACUUGAAAACUCAGGCUGGCACCUACAUUAAAGAGUUUGUACAUGGAGACUUCGGGAGAACCAAGCCAAACAUUGGGUCCCUGAUGAAUGUGACUGCAGACAUUCUUGAGCUGGAUGUUGAGUCUGUAGAUGUUGACUGGCCACCUGCUCUGGAUGACUAGCUUUCAAAUUUGGAGACAAAGAGUAUGGUUUUCCUGGCAUGAAUGUGGACAUCCAUGGAGCACAUGCCGUAAAAUGGCUGUUUACCCACCAUAACGGUGUCUUGAAAACUAUUUGGAUCAUGUUGAUCUUUAUAAUUGUUAAUUAGUUGUAACAUCUCAGGAUCUAUAUAUGUGUAUAUUUUGUGUUAAAUUGUUCCAAGGAUGUCUUAGGAUUUUUCUCAUUCCCUCUUUCACCCCCACAAACCAAACUAUGAAUAAUGAAAUAAUUCUCCUUAAUUCUUUCAUUUAGAGAGGUGCACAAACAGGACACAUUCUCUGUUAACCUAAGAAGCUGUAAUUUCAGCAAGAUUUCCCUCCACAAGAGAUAUACCACCUUUAAAAUCAUGUUCUAAUUUUUUUAAAUUAUCUGAAUAAAAGUUAUAUCUAGAUUUAUGCAGCAUAAUAUCCUAUAAUAGUCUAAGAUUGCAAAUGCAAAUCUGACAUCAUUAUUUUUCCCAGGAAGCCUCAAACAAGCUAUUACCAAUGAAGUUCUUUUGGCUGUGAUUUGUCAUAAAUCUUAACCAAACUAUGAAUAAUGAAAUAAUUCUCAUUAAUACUUUCAUUAAGAAAGAAUUUUGACAAUCUAAAAUUGUCAAUAUAGGUUUCCUGUGGAGGGGAAGUAAAACCGUAGGAGCCAAGGCAUGCCAUGGUAGGAGCCUUUCAUAAAUCUUUUAAAUAAGGAGAAACAAGUGCCUUUAAUAACUUUAAUCCCAGGGUUAAGAAUUUGAAAAAUUGAGCUUGGUAAACAAAGACAAACUGAUAUUAUUUCAGAAUGCUUCAAUAUAUUAUCCAAUUAUAAACAUUUUAAUAAUACCUUAUUAAAGUAGAUAGGAUAUUGUCUCCAUUUUAUAAAUAUGGAAACCAAAGACUAGAAGUUAAAUGACUUAUCGAAAAUUGUUAGCUACUUCUAUAUUGAGGACUAGAACUGAAGUUUCUUGGUUUCUAGGGUCUUUCUAAUAAGCCCUAUUACUGAGCACCUGUUUGUGUGAAGGGGCAGCUAUGGAUGCCAUUUAAACUCAUGUAACUGAUAAUUAACUUUUGGAAUGUAGUUACCAAAUCAAAGAGCUUACCAAAAAAUAGCCCAAGACUAUUUAAUACAAUCUUAUAUAGUUACCAUUUGUUAUUAAGUUAAACCUCAGUUGGUAUUAUGAAGAGGAAAAACAUUAAGCUAAACCUAAAAAAAAUGAAUGGGUCAUUUAAGUUUCAGAAAGGAGCCUCAUUACAAUUUCAGAUUUGAGUAUAAUUUCCAUCACCCUAAUUCAACUAUUUGAGCUUUUUUUUAAGAAUACAUGUGACUUGACUAGUAUUAGAUUACUCACCGUUUCCCAUCUCUAUAUUAAACAUAAAUCACAGAUACCAAGAUUCACUUUAGAUAUGAGGAAAAUGGUUUUAAUGGACACAAAGGAGUCAGCCACGUUGGAACCAACAUAGUUUCAUACCACGUUGAAACCAUGUGUUUGAUAUGCAAAUAACAGCAAAUAAUUUUUUCACUAUUGUCAAUGCCAAUGCAUUGAAAGGCCCAGAAAAUGAGAAAAGGAUAACAAACUUUUGAUAAAAAGGUAAGAAUUUCUGUGUGGAUGUUCCUCAGUUUCUGGGAAAAUUUUGCUACAAAAGAGAUUUAAAUAAUUUAGGAGGCAGUCUUUUGCAUGGUAUUUUUGGCUUACCUUUGAAUCUAGUGGACCUGUAAUAUGUAAGAAUGAAGAAUGUGCUUAGCAAACUGAAAUGAGAAGACUUCUAUUUCUUAAAUUUCUAUUCCUGAGAUUAUAUAAAAUUUCACGCAAAGAGUAAGCACUAGCUUUAAAUACUUCUUCCAAAUGUUCCUAGAAUUUUGAGACAAAGAUUGUUAAAAAUUAAUGUAUGUCUUUGUUUUAGGCAGAACUGGAAAUAUUAAGUAGUGAGAGUACUAUAGUUUCCCUUUUGCCUACAUAAAAGCAUUUUAAAAUUAGUUUUAUGAUUUCUUUGUAAGCUUUAUUUAAAUUCAAAGUCUUUUUCAUAACACUUAAGAGAAAGAGCCCUUUGUACUUCUUAGUAUCUCUUUGUCCCAAAUAUAGUCUGUGGUUUAUUUUAGGAAAAACAUCAACUCUGAAUACCUGAAAAAGUCAAGAGAAAAUAAAAGUUGGUAAAAUGAAAAAU
rnacentral:sRNA from 1 species